UGCCAAGUGCCACGCCGCGCUGAGCCGCAGAGAAGCGCCGCGGCGCUCGCCGGCAACGUCGGAAACUCGGCGCGACCGGAGCGGGGCCGCCAGCCGCUCUCCGGCGGGAGGAGCUCUCCGGAAGGGGCCCGGCGGAGCUCGGAUGCGAGCGCACCAACUCUGAAGCCCAACGCGUGGCGCCCCCACCCCCGCCGCGGGCUACGCCACUCCCUCCCGACACACGCGACACCCUGCGUUCACAGGCACAAGCACGCAGGUCCGGCCGCCGUGGCCGCUGCCGGGCCGAGUAAACACCCAGUUGGAAACGCUGGCAGCGGAGCCGCGCUCGGUAGCAAGCCGGCCCGAGGAAGAAAGAGGGGCGGCCCGCGCCCGGGCUGUGUUGCCUCUGGGACACCCAGCCCUUUGGGUGCCCUCGAGCGCAGCACUCGACCUUGAGAAGGAAGACGUGAGGUUCUCGCUGUUACUCCUUUUCCCUUUUCCUUCCCUUAUUUUUCUUUCCAUCCUUUCUUCCUUUUUCUCUUUCUUUGUGGAUUUUUCUUUGCCCCCAUGAGCUGAGCCUACCCUUUCCACCUUUCCCAGAAGAAACCAUCUGUUCUCAGUUUCUAAGUGAUAAUUGCUCUGCCUGAGCCCCUCUCCCAUCCACCCACCUCCACGGGUAAGGUCUUGGGAAUCUGGCUUCUCGUCCUGGCUGCUCUGUGUGACAGUGACUUUGCCUGCCUCACAGGAAGGAUUGUUCUCGCAGUGGCCUCUGGGCGAAUACUGGAAGUGCCUAAAGACACUGGACAAGGGUGGGGUAGCUUCCGCCCUACAAGCUCUGUUCCUUCAGGAUCAUGGACAAGAUGGCAUUUGGUCUGGGCCUUGGUUUCUUUCCUGGACUGAAAGCUCAAAAAUAGGGCUGCCCAGUCCAAACCCAGACACCUGGCAAUCCCACUAGCAACUCUUACCAAAAGCGGAGGGUUUCCUCUGUAGCCAGCAGAAACACAAUUAGCCACGCCCUCCCCCAGUGCCCUUUAUGCUGCAGCCUGCCUUUGAAAUUUCCUGGGCACAUUCCAAUUUUCCUGGAGCCUUAGUUGAACGGGCGGGGGGGGGGGGGGAUGAUUCUAACAAAAACUGUUACCAUUUCUUGGAAUGCUCACUACAUACCAGGCACUGUUAAGACGUGACAUCAAAUUCUCA